AAAAAUCUUCUAGGAGCAGCUAACAAGAAUCCUAAUACAGGAGUGUUUAUGGUUGGGUUGAGACACAUUCAGUAGCUGAGUGAUUGACAGCAAGAGGAGCAAGACAUGAGGUUAAUAAUUAUCAAAUAUAUGGCAAUGCUGGACUUUAGCUGAUCAUCGUGCUUCUGGAAAACAACAAAAAUUGAGAUAUCUGUUCACCACUUUGUGUGUCCAAGGACCACCUACUUUUUACAUGUGACAAGAACUACCCACCUCCACUCUUCAGGAUAGAACAUGCUGAAGAAAAGAGUUGCAAUGAGAAAAUAUAUGGGAACAAAAUACCUAUGCAAUGCAGAAGUCUGCAUAACUGAACCACUCAGAGGAAAAAGAUUGCCAUUUCAGGACACCUCCUACAUCUGAGGAAAUAUGCAUUGAUCUUGCAGUACUUUUCUCCUCCAAAUAAAAGUCAGUAUGAUAACAACUACACUAUCAGAAUUUUUGCAUGAAUAUUACUUACCUCUCUAGGAUUAAUGUCCACAACGUGCACUGGCAUGUUCAUCACAGCAGUAUUCUCAAUAGUAAAGACAAAGAAUUGGCCAGGCGCGGUGGCUCACACCUGUAAUCCCAGCACUUUGGAAGGCCG
rnacentral:lncRNA from 1 species